AGACCCGAAACCCGGUGAUCUAGCCAUGGGCAGGUUGAAGGUUGGGUAACACUAACUGGAGGACCGAACCGACUAAUGUUGAAAAAUUAGCGGAUGACCUGUGGCUGGGGGUGAAAGGCCAAUCAAACCGGGAGAUAGCUGGUUCUCCCCGAAAGCUAUUUAGGUAGCGCCUCGUGAAUUCAUCUCCGGGGGUAGAGCACUGUUUCGGCUAGGGGGCCAUCCCGGCUUACCAACCCGAUGCAAACUGCGAAUACCGGAGAAUGUUAUCACGGGAGACACACGGCGGGUGCUAACGUCCGUCGUGAAGAGGGAAACAACCCAGACCGCCAGCUAAGGUCCCAAAGUCAUGGUUAAGUGGGAAACGAUGUGGGAAGGCCCAGACAGCCAGGAUGUUGGCUUAGAAGCAGCCAUCAUUUAAAGAAAGCGUAAUAGCUCACUGGUCGAGUCGGCCUGCGCGGAAGAUGUAACGGGGCUAAACCAUGCACCGAAGCUGCGGCAGCGAACGUAUCACUUAAAGCGAUUCAGCGGGUUACGAUUGACGGAGCGAAGCGACGUCAAAGCGUAUACAAAGUCGAGUCGGUUUAAGGAUACGUUCGUUGGGUAGGGGAGCGUUCUGUAAGCCUGUGAAGGUGGCCUGUGAGGGUUGCUGGAGGUAUCAGAAGUGCGAAUGCUGACAUAAGUAACGAUAAAGCGGGUGAAAAGCCCGCUCGCCGGAAGACCAA
rnacentral:rRNA from 1 species